AGCAGCCGCGGUAAUUCCAGCUCCAAUAGCGUAUAUUAAAGUUGCUGCAGUUAAAAAGCUCGUAGUUGAAUUUCGGGACUAAUAUGUCGGUCGUGCCUCGGUACGUACUGGCUUAUUGGUUUCUCCUUUCUGAAGAACCAUGAUGUCAUUUAUUUGGUGUCGUGGGGAAUCAGGACUGUUACUUUGAAAAAAUUAGAGUGUUUAAAGCAGGCUCACGCUUGAAUACAUUAGCAUGGAAUAAUGAAAUAGGACGUUUGAUUCUAUUUUGUUGGUUUCUAGGAUCGACGUAAUGAUUAAUAGGGAUAGUUGGGGGCAUUAGUAUUCAAUUGUCAGAGGUGAAAUUCUUGGAUUUAUUGAAGACUAACUACUGCGAAAGCAUUUGCCAAGGAUGUUUUCAUUAAUCAAGAACGAAAGUUAGGGGAUCGAAGACGAUCAGAUACCGUCGUAGUCUUAACCAUAAACUAUGCCGACUAGGGAUCGGAUGAUGUUAAUUUUUUUUUAAUGACUCAUUCGGCGCCUU
rnacentral:misc_RNA from 1 species